GAUGAACGCUAGCGGAAGGCUUAAUACAUGCAAGUCGAGCGGUAAAAAUCUGAGCAAUUGGAUUUGAGAGCGGCGCACGGGUGAGUAACGCGUACAUGACCUACCUUUAAGAUCGGGAUAGCCCUGGGAAACUGGGAUUAAUACCGGAUGUGAUAAUAAGUAUAGAGAUUUAUUAUUAAAGCUGAGGCGCUUAGAGAUGGGUGUGCGUCUGAUUAGCUAGUUGGUAGGGUAAAGGCCUACCAAGGCGACGAUCAGUAGGGGCGUGAGAGCGUGAUCCCCCAACGGGUACUGAGACACGGACCCGACUCCUACGGGAGGCAGCAGUAGGGAAUAUUGGUCAAUGGACGGAAGUCUGAACCAGCCAUUCCGCGUGCAGGAGAAGAUUCAUGGAUUGUAAACUGCUUUUAGCAGAGAAGAAAAGCCUUCAUUGAUGGGGGUCUGACGGUAUCUGCGGAAUAAGCAACCGGCUAAACUCCCGUGCCAGCAGCCGAC
rnacentral:rRNA from 1 species